GUCCCGCAACGAGCGCAACCCUUGCCUUUAGUUGCCAGCAGUUUAAGCUGGGCACUCUAAAGGGACUGCCGGUGUCAAACCGGAGGAAGGUGGGGAUGACGUCAAGUCCUCAUGGCCUUUAUGACCAGGGCUACACACGUACUACAAUGGCCGGUACAAAGGGCAGCGACACUGCGAAGUGAAGCGAAUCCCAUAAAGCCGGUCUCAGUCCGGAUUGGAGUCUGCAACUCGACUCCAUGAAGUCGGAAUCGCUAGUAAUCGUGGAUCAG
rnacentral:rRNA from 1 species